rnacentral:rRNA from 1 species
CGUAGGGACCAAGCGUUGUUCGGAUUUACUGGGCGUAAAGGGCGCGUAGGCGGCUUAACAAGUCACUUGUGAAAUCUCCGGGCUUAACUCGGAACUGCCAAGUGAAACUGUCAAGCUAGAGUGCAGAAGGGGCAAUCGGAAUUCUUGGUGUAGCGGUGAAAUGCGUAGAUAUCAAGAGGAACACCUGAGGUGAAGACGGGUUGCUGGGCUGACACUGACGCUGAGGCGCGAAAGCCAGGGGAGCAAACGGGAUUAGAUACCCCGGUAGUCCUGGCCCUAAACGAUGAAUACUUGGUGUCUGGAGUAAUAUGUGCUCCGGGUGCCGUCGCUAACGUUUUUAGUAUUCCGCCUGGGGAGUACGCUCGCAAGAGUG